ACUCAAAUGAAUAGACGGGGGCCCGCACAAGCGGCGGAGCAUGCGGAUUAAUUCGAUGCAACGCGAAGAACCUUACCUGGGUUUGACAUCACCCGAAAACUUCCAGAGAUGGGGGGUCCUUCGGGGCGGGUGACAGGUGGUGCAUGGCUGUCGUCAGCUCGUGUCGUGAGAUGUUGGGUUAAGUCCCGCAACGAGCGCAACCCUCGUUCGAUGUUGCCAGCGGGUAAUGCCGGGGACUCGUCGAAGACUGCCGGGGUCAACUCGGAGGAAGGUGGGGAUGACGUCAAGUCAUCAUGCCCCUUAUGUCCAGGGCUUCACGCAUGCUACAAUGGCCGGUACAAAGGGCUGCGAUGCCGUAAGGUGGAGCGAAUCCCAAAAAGCCGGUCUCAGUUCGGAUCGGGGUCUGCAACUCGACCCCGUGAAGUCGGAGUCGCUAGUAAUCGCAGAUCAGCAUUGCUGCGGUGAAUACGUUCCCGGGCCUUGUACACACCGCCCGU
rnacentral:rRNA from 1 species